UUUUUUUUUUUUUUUUUUUUGCUUUUGAGAAAUCACUUCUUUAUAUUCUCUAUGGAGUUUGUGGAUCAUAUCAUAAUUUCUUUAUGUAUCUAUAACUAUGGGUGUUUUUGAAGAUAAUUAUCAGAUAAUAAUCAUCCUAACUGGUAUGAGGGCUUACCUUGCUGUAGUGUUAAUGUGUAUUUCCCCAGUAAUUGGCAGUAUUGUUUACUUUUUUACAUAGUUAAUGUAAAUACUAAUACUUAAAUUUCUAGUACUCUUCAAUCAGAGAGGACAAAAUGUCUUUCUUUCUUUCAUUCACCAUAACACCAAAAGAAGCCAUGGGGAACUUGAUUUAUUACGUACAAUACUAUGGCACACAAGCCCAGAUCAAAAUAUAUUAGUAUUCUGGUGAAGGUUCCUAGUUAGUCAAGGACUUUUCUUAAAGAAAAACUAAUAUUGGUUAAUCUUCCAUCUCUUUUCUCUAGCUCUAGGAUUAAAUUUUCUUAUCUUAAAAACUCUUUCAAAUAGCCAUAAACUUCUGUUUUUCAAAAUCUUUAUUAAAAGUCACUGUGAAGAAAAUGCAUAUCGUUUCAUUCUAGUAAGGCACACACAAGAAACAAAUGCCAUGUAGAUAAUGUAUCUGCAGUACAGGACUAAGCCCAGCGUCUUAGGUUCUGCCAACGAGCUAUAUCCCUAGCCUAAUACAUUGUUUUAAAACUACACUAUCUGGAAGCUGUUGUAAACAAUUCCUCUAAUGCUUCUAUAAAGCCAUAUUUAGGAUUCUUCCUUCAAUAACCUUACUAAACCCUGAUUCUGCCUCAGAUACUGGGAUGUCAAAAGUAAAAGAGGUAACACCCAGCCUAAAAUAUCUCAGUCUAGAGAGAAGAAGAGACAAAAAGAUCAACAGGUCUGAAUCAGAAUAACUAGCAUGCAUUAAUCAAUAGCCAAUCAAUACGUUGAGAAUAAUUUGUCCAUUCUCUCUCAUGAGGGAAUAGAAAUAUUGGGAUGGUGAUGAGGUACUCAAAUCGGGUGAAGAGUCAGGACACUUUCAAAGUAUUUUAAGAUCUCAAAUGCACAGUAAAAGCUUACCUCUAAAUACUUUGGCACAUUCUCAGUUUCUCCCUUCCACCUUCAAUUCAUAAUUGUGGUUCACUUAUUCGUGUCUCCAUUGCUUGAAUGAAUUAACGUUGUAAAUGCUAACACAUCUUACUGAUUUUUUUUUAUACCUACAAAUGAGCAAUGCUGUUUAAGCUGCCCAUCUUUACAACUGCGAUCUCGCAAGGUCAUUUUCUAUCCAUUUACUUAGCACUAAAUUUGGGUGGUGGUGUUGCACAGACAGGAAAAUGAGUAGUCUGUAAGACAGAGUAACAUCGUGAGUAGCUUUACUCAUUCUGCGGUUGUCCUUGCCUGUUUUGAUUGGAGUUUUCAGAGAAAUCCUACUGUGUACCCUAGAUUGGCUGUAAAACGUUGCGGUAAAAUCUCCAACCCAAAUAAGCCCGUG
rnacentral:lncRNA from 1 species